AUGCUUACUUCGGCAGCAUUUAUACUAAAAUUGGAACUAUACAGAGAAGAUUAGCAUGACCCUUGUGCAAGGAUGACAUACAAAUUUGCAAAGCAUUCCAUAUUUUU